UUUGGUUAAGUUAGAAAGGGCGCACGGUGGAUGCCUUGACACUAGGAGUCGAUGAAGGACGGGACUAACGCCGAUAUGCUUCGGGGAGCUGUAAGUAAGCUUUGAUCCGAAGAUUUCCGAAUGGGGAAACCCACCAUACGUAAUGGUAUGGUAUCCUUAUCUGAAUACAUAGGGUAAGGAAGACAGACCCAGGGAACUGAAACAUCUAAGUACCUGGAGGAAGAGAAAGCAAAUGCGAUUUCCUGAGUAGCGGCGAGCGAAACGGAACAUAGCCCAAACCAAGAGGCUUGCCUCUUGGGGUUGUAGGACAUUCUAUACGGAGUUACAAAGGAACGAGGUAGACGAAGCGACCUGGAAAGGUCCGUCGUAGAGGGUAACAACCCCGUAGUCGAAACUUCGUUCUCUCUUGAAUGUAUCCUGAGUACGGCGGAACACGUGAAAUUCCGUCGGAAUCUGGGAGGACCAUCUCCCAAGGCUAAAUACUCCCUAGUGAUCGAUAGUGAACCAGUACCGUGAGGGAAAGGUGAAAAGCACCCCGAAAGGGGAGUGAAAGAGAUCCUGAAACCGUGUGCCUACAAAUAGUCAGAGCCCGUUAACGGGUGAUGGCGUGCCUUUUGUAGAAUGAACCGGCGAGUUACGAUCCCGUGCGAGGUUAAGCUGAAGAGGCGGAGCCGCAGCGAAAGCGAGUCUGAAUAGGGCGUUUAGUACGUGGUCGUAGACCCGAAACCAGGUGAUCUACCCAUGUCCAGGGUGAAGUUCAGGUAACACUGAAUGGAGGCCCGAACCCACGCACGUUGAAAAGUGCGGGGAUGAGGUGUGGGUAGCGGAGAAAUUCCAAUCGAACCUGGAGAUAGCUGGUUCUCCCCGAAAUAGCUUUAGGGCUAGCCUUAAGUGUAAGAGUCUUGGAGGUAGAGCACUGAUUGGACUAGGGGUCCUCAUCGGAUUACCGAAUUCAGUCAAACUCCGAAUGCCAAUGACUUAUCCUUAGGAGUCAGACUGCGAGUGAUAAGAUCCGUAGUCAAAAGGGAAACAGCCCAGACCGCCAGCUAAGGUCCCAAAGUGUGUAUUAAGUGGAAAAGGAUGUGGAGUUGCUUAGACAACUAGGAUGUUGGCUUAGAAGCAGCCACCAUUUAAAGAGUGCGUAAUAGCUCACUAGUCGAGUGACUCUGCGCCGAAAAUGUACCGGGGCUAAAUACACCACCGAAGCUGCGGAUUGAUACCAAUGGUAUCAGUGGUAGGGGAGCGUUCUAAGGACAGUGAAGUCAGACCGGAAGGACUGGUGGAGUGCUUAGAAGUGAGAAUGCCGGUAUGAGUAGCGAAAGACGGGUGAGAAUCCCGUCCACCGAAUGCCUAAGGUUUCCUGAGGAAGGCUCGUCCGCUCAGGGUUAGUCAGGACCUAAGCCGAGGCCGACAGGCGUAGGCGAUGGACAACAGGUUGAUAUUCCUGUACCACCUCUUUAUCGUUUGAGCAAUGGAGGGACGCAGAAGGAUAGAAGAAGCGUGCGAUUGGUUGUGCACGUCCAAGCAGUUAGGCUGAUAAGUAGGCAAAUCCGCUUAUCGUGAAGGCUGAGCUGUGAUGGGGAAGCUCCUUAUGGAGCGAAGUCUUUGAUUCCCCGCUGCCAAGAAAAGCUUCUAGCGAGAUAAAAGGUGCCUGUACCGCAAACCGACACAGGUAGGCGAGGAGAGAAUCCUAAGGUGUGCGAGAGAACUCUGGUUAAGGAACUCGGCAAAAUGACCCCGUAACUUCGGGAGAAGGGGUGCUUUCUUAACGGAAAGCCGCAGUGAAUAGGCCCAAGCGACUGUUUAGCAAAAACACAGCUCUCUGCGAAGCCGUAAGGCGAAGUAUAGGGGGUGACACCUGCCCGGUGCUGGAAGGUUAAGGAGAGGGGUUAGCGUAAGCGAAGCUCUGAACUGAAGCCCCAGUAAACGGCGGCCGUAACUAUAACGGUCCUAAGGUAGCGAAAUUCCUUGUCGGGUAAGUUCCGACCCGCACGAAAGGUGUAACGAUUUGGGCACUGUCUCAACCAGAGACUCGGUGAAAUUAUAGUACCUGUGAAGAUGCAGGUUACCCGCGACAGGACGGAAAGACCCCGUGGAGCUUUACUGUAGCCUGAUAUUGAAUUUUGGUACAGUUUGUACAGGAUAGGCGGGAGCCUUUGAAACCGGAGCGCUAGCUUCGGUGGAGGCGCUGGUGGGAUACCGCCCUGACUGUAUUGAAAUUCUAACCUACGGGUCUUAUCGACCCGGGAGACAGUGUCAGGUGGGCAGUUUGACUGGGGCGGUCGCCUCCUAAAGUGUAACGGAGGCGCCCAAAGGUUCCCUCAGAAUGGUUGGAAAUCAUUCGUAGAGUGCAAAGGCAUAAGGGAGCUUGACUGCGAGACCUACAAGUCGAGCAGGGACGAAAGUCGGGCUUAGUGAUCCGGUGGUUCCGCAUGGAAGGGCCAUCGCUCAACGGAUAAAAGCUACCCCGGGGAUAACAGGCUUAUCUCCCCCAAGAGUCCACAUCGACGGGGAGGUUUGGCACCUCGAUGUCGGCUCAUCGCAUCCUGGGGCUGUAGUCGGUCCCAAGGGUUGGGCUGUUCGCCCAUUAAAGCGGUACGCGAGCUGGGUUCAGAACGUCGUGAGACAGUUCGGUCCCUAUCCGUCGUGGGCGUAGGAAAUUUGAGAGGAGCUGUCCUUAGUACGAGAGGACCGGGAUGGACGCACCGCUGGUGUACCAGUUGUUCUGCCAAGGGCAUAGCUGGGUAGCUAUGUGCGGAAGGGAUAAGUGCUGAAAGCAUCUAAGCAUGAAGCCCCCCUCAAGAUGAGAUUUCCCAUAGCGUAAGCUAGUAAGAUCCCUGAAAGAUGAUCAGGUUGAUAGGUUCGAGGUGGAAGCAUGGUGACAUGUGGAGCUGACGAAUACUAAUAGAUCGAGGACUUAACCAUAUAA
rnacentral:rRNA from 2 species